AUUGAACGCUGGCGGCAGGCCUAACACAUGCAAGUCGAGCGGUAACAGGACUAGCUUGCUAGUUGCUGACGAGCGGCGGACGGGUGCGUAACACGUAGGAAUCUGCCCGGUAGUGGGGAUAGCCCGGAGAAAUCCGGAUUAAUACCGCAUACGCCCUAAGGGGGAAAGAUGGCCUCUUCUUGAAAGCUAUCACUAUCGGAUGAGCCUGCGUCGGAUUAGCUGGUUGGUGGGUAAAGGCCUACCAAGGCGACGAUCCGUAGCUGAUCUGAGAGGAUGAUCAGCCACACUGGGACUGAGACACGGCCCAGACUCCUACGGGAGGCAGCAGUGGGGAAUAUUGCACAAUGGGCGCAAGCCUGAUGCAGCCAUGCCGCGUGUGUGAAGAAGGCUCUAGGGUUGUAAAGCACUUUCAGCGAGGAGGAAAGGUUAAAGAUUAAUACUCUUUAGCUGUGACGUUACUCGCAGAAGAAGCACCGGCUAACCG
rnacentral:rRNA from 1 species